CAAGUACUCCCUCCGUCCGGAAUUACUUGUCAUCAAACUGGACGUGUCUAGAACUAAAAUACAUCUAGAUACAUCCAUUUGAAUGACAAGUAUUUUCGGACGGAGGGAGUACAAG
rfam:Triticum aestivum genome assembly, contig: Triticum_aestivum_CS42_TGACv1_scaffold_032556_1BL